rnacentral:rRNA from 1 species
AUAGAGUCAAGUGAAUAAGUGCAUCAGGUGGAUGCCUUGGCGAUGAUAGGCGACGAAGGACGUGUAAGCCUGCGAAAAGCGCGGGGGAGCCGGCAAUAAAGC